UCCCUGGUAGCUCAGUUGGUAAAGAAUCUGCCUGCAAUGCAGGAGACCCUGGUUCAAUUCCUGGGUUGGGAA
rnacentral:tRNA from 1 species